UACGAAGGUCCCAAGCGUUGUUCGGAAUCACUGGGCGUAAAGGGAGCGUGGGCGGCCUUUCAAGUCUGGUGUGAAAGCCCAGGGCCUAGCUCUGGAAGUGCACUAGAAACUGAUCGGCUUGAGUACCGGAGGGGAGAGUGGAAUUCCCGGUGUAGCGGUGAAAUGCGUAGAUAUCGGGAGGAAUACCGGUGGCGAAAGCAAUCCCCUGGGCCUGCACUGACGCUCAUGCACGAAAGCGUGGGGAGCAAACAGG
rnacentral:rRNA from 1 species